GUGCCAGCCGCCGCGGUAAUACCGGCAGCCCAAGUGAUGGCCGAUCUUAUUGGGCCUAAAGCGUCCGUAGCUGGCCGCGCAAGUCCAUCGGGAAAUCCACCCGCUCAACGGGUGGACGUCCGGUGGAAACUGCACGGCUUGGGACCGGAAGGCGCGACGGGUACGUCCGGGGUAGGAGUGAAAUCCCGUAAUCCUGGACGGACCGCCGAUGGCGAAAGCACGUCGCGAGAACGGAUCCGACAGUGAGGGACGAAAGCUAGGGUCUCGAACCGGAUUAGAAACCCCAGUAGUC
rnacentral:rRNA from 1 species